rnacentral:rRNA from 1 species
GUGUGAAAUAGACCUGAAACCAUAAGCUUACAAUGUGUAGGAGCACCGCAAGGUGUGACUGCUUGCCUUUUGCAUAAUGAGUCUGCGAGUUAUUGUCAGUGGCCAGCCUAAGUUCUUAUGGAACGGAGGCGAAGGGAAACCGAGUACGAAAUGUGCGUUUAGUCGCUGGCAAUAGACCCGAAGCGGAGGUGAUCUACUCUUGAGCAGGUUGAAGCUUUAGUAACAUAAAGUGGAGGACCGAACUCGUGAAUGUUGAAAAAUUCUGAGAUGACUUGAGAGUAGGAGCGAAAGACUAAUCAAACCCCGUGAUAGCUGGUUCUCUCCGAAAUAGCUUGAGGGCUAGCGUCGAGCAAGUACUCCGAGGAGGUAGAGCACUGGAUGGCUUAGAGUCCCUACCAGGAUAUCAAAACCAAUCAAACUCCAAAUGCCUCGGAUCCCAUUACCUCGGCAUUCAGGCUGCGAGGGAUAAGCUUCGUAGCCGAGAGGGCAACAGCCCAGAUCGCCAGCUAAGGUGCCUAAAUACUAUUAAGUGGAAAGGAUGUGACGUUGCUUAGACAGUGAGGAUGUUGGCUUAGAGGCAGCCAUCAUUUAAACAGUGCGUAAUAGCUGACUCAUCGAGCGAUGUCGCGCCGAAAAUGAUUGGCGAUAAAUAGUAUACCGAAGCUGCGGACUUGAGAGGGUUUCGACCCUUUCAUUUGGUAGGAGAGCGUAAUUCAUGCAGUGAAGCCUUACUGGAAAGGACGGUGGAGCGUGAAUUAGUGAGAAUGCAGACAUGAGUAGCGAUAAACCAGAUGAGAAUUCUGGUCGCCGUAAACCUAAGGUUUCCUGGGCAAGGUUCGUCCUCCCAGGGUUAGUCGGGAGCUAAGAUGAGGCCGUAAGGCGUAGUCGAUGCACAGCAGGUUAAUAUUCCUGCACCAACUAGGAUUAAGGACUGGAGUGAAGCAGAGAGGAAAGUGACUAGGCAAUCGAAUGCUGAGCCGAGGGGCAACCCGAAGCGUAUCACCGGACAAUCUGUCGAGAAAAGCUCCUUUUUCGUUUCCCUAGGUGCCCGUACCGUAAACCGACACAGGUGGGUGGGUCGAGUAGACCAAGGCGCGCGAGAGAAACCUCUCUAAGGAACUCGGCAAAAUAGCCCCGUAACUUCGGGAGAAGGGGUACCCACUUCGGUGGGUCACAGUAAAUUGGGUUUAGCGACUGUUUAACAAAAACACAGCACUCUGCCAAGUUGUGAAAACAACGUAUAGGGUGUGACACGUGACCAAUGCGGAAAGAUCAAGGUGACUUGUUAGCCGCAAGGCGAAGCUCGGAGCCAAAGUCCCCGUGAAUGUCGGCCGUAACUAUAACGGUCCUAAGGUAGCGAAAUUCCUUGUCGAAAAG